UACGGAGGGGGGUUAGCGUUGUUCGGAAUGACUGGGCGUAAAGCGCGCGUAGGCGGAUCGGAAAGUUGGGGGUGAAAUCCCGGGGCUCAACCCCGGAAUGGCCUUCAAAACUCCCGGUCUUGAGGUCGAGAGAGGUGAGUGGAAUUCCGAGUGUAGAGGGUGAAAUUCGUAGAUAUUCGCAAGAACACCAGUGGCGAAGGCGGGCUCACUGGCCCCGAUACUGACGCUGAGGUGCGAAAGCGUGGGGAGCAAACAGGG
rnacentral:rRNA from 1 species